AGGCUACCCAUCACAUGGUCUUAGGUCAUGACUACCACACAGGUGGCUGCUUAAAAGACUUUGAAAUGAUAACUCAACUCCUUCUGCACUGUGAUGCAGGUGUAUGGAACAUGCAAGAUUACAUUUGGAAUUCCACUUACAGGGGAACUGAGAAGGAUGAACGGCACCAAGCAUAACCUUCCUUAAUGAAAAUGCACGAUCUUGCAUACUCACUCUAGGGCCAAAUGGGCCUGGAAUCCCAGAACUGCCUUGUUCACCAAUAGGACCCUGCAGAGAAAUAGACAGGAAAACCUUUCUAUUUCUGUGUUACUGUUAAUGUUUUGUUAUCUUUAAAGAAGGAAGCACAUUGGUCUUACAGCAUGAAAUGUGUGUGAAAAUAUAUGAAAAGGUCAUCUGAGGUCACAAUUUUUCAUUACUCUUGUCUCAGCUUGAUUUCAUUGCUACCACAUGAUAUUAUGGUAAUGUCCAUCAAUGCUCAGACUCAGAGAAGCAGCUUUUAAAAAAGAAAGAACUGAUAAUGUUAUUCACAACCUAUGGUUGAGAUCAUAUGAAUCUCAAUAAAAAGCCAUAGCUCUAUGGUGCGGAGGUGGGGGAUCCCUUUAGCACAGAACUAAAAAGAGAUGAAGACAAAAUGUGAUACUUUCCUGCUGCGUUUAUAGUCAGGUUUCUCAUAGAAACUGUAGCCCAUACAAUCUUACAUAAAAGAUGAAAAAGAGGAAUUAUCUGAAGAGUGUCUAUCCACACUGUACAUCCAUUCACAUACCAUUGCUCAGACUUGAAAAUAGCCACUCCCCAACUUGCCUGUGGCAAGUAGCAAAGUCCUCCAGAGGAACAAGCUAGGAAUAUUUUGGAAAUUGGAAAAGAGUUGGUACUUUCUCUUCCAGGUUCUUGAGGAGGCAAACAUAACUUACUUUAGGUGUAUAAGCAAACAGGUUAGUAACAAUACAGUGGGCAAAUUUGGGGAAUUUCUUUGUGCCAUUGCAGCCUUGCAAGGCAUAACCAACUUCUUUUGGAUCGGGGAUGCUGUAAUACAAAUGGAGCACUCCACUUCCCAGAGGUUUCUUAUGCAUUUCAAUAAAGGAAAUAUCUUAUUGAAAUUAAUGGUAAAGUAGAUUUGCAAGAAGUCCUAUGCACACAGUGGUGUGUUGACAGGCCUCCAUGUUAGAGAAGCAUAGGCUUGAAUGGAAUGGAAUCAUUUAACAAAAAUGAAAAUAAAACUUACUGGUGGUCCAGGGAGACCCUGAAGGCCAGUGAAACCUCGGUGACCCUUCUGCCCCCUAUCACCUCGAUCUCCAUUGUCACCUUUGUCACCACGAGGACCUUGGGGACCCUUAAGCAGAAAAUAAACAGGGAUGCAAUCCAGCCAAAGUUAAGUAUGGGCUUAAAUCUCUUCCAUUGAAAGAAGCAGGACUUAAAUGUGCAAUUAGACUGUGCCCAAAAUGCAUUGUACUGAAGAUAAUUCUCAUCCCACAGCGACAACAGUUACAGUUUCCCCCCUCACAAAGUUUCAGUAUGAUCAAAAUCUUCCAGUAUGUGAGUAUGAAAUAUGAGGCUUAUAAUAAAAGUUAAUUCAUCCUGACAUGUCUGAACUAUCUCCACAUUUGCUCUCUGUAUUAAGAUGUGAAGAGAAUUUCUAGCUUCUUGUUACCUGUUUGCUUAGGCUUUGCGGGGAACUGCAUUUAAGAACCAAAUUGGCUGGCAAGAUUCUCCCAAAUAAAAUUUGGAAAUGAAUUUAAAGGGCCCACCUCAAAAGAGGUGAGUGUCAAAAGCAUCCUAAUUAUUCUCCAGCUUAGAUCAAAAUCAACUGCAAUUGCUGUAACUCUUGAGGAAACUACUUCCUAUUCCCCAUGGUCCCUCAGGGAAGGAUGGAGAGGGUGUUUUGGGGGAGGGUGCUGGUUGGGAAGAUUUUUUAGGGAUUGUGUGGGCUGGUAGAAAGGUGGAGAGGGCAUUUUUCUGAGCCUUGAAACUGGCUUAGAAACCUGAUCUGAGUUUUUCUAAUUUUAUUCAAAAGAACUUAGAUCAUGUUUGAGUUAACAGGAGUUGAUUUUAAAACAGCUUGCCCAUUUCUAUUAAGACAACUGUCUGCUAGCUAAACUAGUCAAAUGGUGGGAGAGUAAAAGGAGCAACUAAUUUAGAUAAGAUUCUUUAAGGUCAUUCAUACUGCCCAUGGAGUUUGGGCUGGGGAGGGCUGAAGGGGAAGGCAGGAUCCUACCUACAUUCUUCCAAACAAUGUUUGUUGCUUCUGGGCACCACUGCUCACAU